ACGUAGGGGGCGAGCGUUAUCCGGAUUCAUUGGGCGUAAAGCGCGCGUAGGCGGCCGCGCAGGCGGGGGGUCAAAUCCCGGGGCUCAACCCCGGGCCGCCCCCCGAACCGCGCGGCUUGGGUCCGGCAGGGGAGGGUGGAACGCCCGGUGUAGCGGUGGAAUGCGCAGAUAUCGGGCGGAACACCGGUGGCGAAGGCGGCCCUCUGGGCCGGCACCGACGCUGAGGCGCGAGAGCCGGGGGAGCGAACAG
rnacentral:rRNA from 1 species